UCUGAAGAUGAUCAUCAUCCUUGACUGUCCUCUAUCAACACCAUGAACAAGUUUGCUGUAUUCGCUGUCUUGGCAGUCUUCACUGUACUUGUCACAAGUCAUUCUGAAAUUCCUGCCAAAGAGGAAAUGGCAGAUACAGCAGCUCUGCUUCAGGAAUUGCAAAUACAGAAUGGAAUCAUAAGAAACAUUUUAGGAAGAGCCAUACAGGCAAUUAAGAAACUUGUAGGGCAAAGUUGACCCAGCGCUCCUUAAAGGUACUUGGAAACAAGCUGAAGUUAAAUUUUAUCCAGCAUGUUAAAAACCUGUAAUCAACUGAAAUAAAAUCA